UACGUAGGGGGCAAGCGUUGUCCGGAAUUAUUGGGCGUAAAGAGCGCGUAGGCGGUCCGAUAAGUCGGCUGUGAAAGUCAGGGGCUCAACCCUUGGAAGCCGGCCGAUACUGUCGGACUAGAGUCCGGAAGAGGCGAGUGGAAUUCCCGGUGUAGCGGUGAAAUGCGCAGAUAUCAGGAGGAACACCGGUGGCGAAGGCGGGUCUCUGGGCCGAUACUGACGCUGAGGAGCGAAAGCGUGGGGAGCAAACAGG
rnacentral:rRNA from 1 species